rnacentral:rRNA from 1 species
GAUGAACGCUGGCGGCGUGCCUAAUACAUGCAAGUCGAACGAAACUUCUUUAUCACCGAGUGCUUGCACUCACCGAUACAGAGUUGAGUGGCGAACGGGUGAGUAACACGUGGGCAACCUGCCCAAAAGAGGGGGAUAACACUUGGAAACAGGUGCUAAUACCGCAUAACCAUAGUUACCGCAUGGUAACUAUGUAAAAGGUGGCUAUACUACCGCUUUUGGAUGGGCCGGGGGCGCAUUAGCUAGCUGGUAGGGUCAAGGCUUACCAAGGCAAUGAUGCGUGCCCCAAUUUAGAGGGUGAUCGGCCACAGUGGAACUGAGACACGGCCCAAACUCCUACGGGAGGCAGCAGUAGGGAAUCUUCCACAAUGGGCGAAAGCCUGAUGGAGCAACGCCGCGUGGGUGAAGAAGGUCUUCGGAUCGUAAAACCCUGUUGUUAGAGAAGAAAGUGCGUGAGAGUAACUGUUCACGUUUCGACGGUAUCUAAUCAGAGAGCCACUGCUAACUACGUG